GACGAACCGUGCGAACGUUGUUCGGAUUCACUGGGCUUAAAGGGCGCGUAGGCGGGCAAGCAAGUCCGGGGUGAAAUCUUUCGGCUCAACCGGAAAAGGGCCUUGGAUACUGCUUGUCUGGAGGGAGGUAGGGGCAGCUGGAACUUCCGGUGGAGCGGUGAAAUGCGUUGAUAUCGGAAGGAACGCCGGUGGCGAAAGCGAGCUGCUGGACCUCUUCUGACGCUGAGGCGCGAAAGCUAGGGGAGCAAACGGGAUUAGAAACCCUCGUAGUCC
rnacentral:rRNA from 1 species